UGGGGAAUCUUGGACAAUGGGGGCAACCCUGAUCCAGCCAUGCCGCGUGAGUGAUGAAGGCCUUAGGGUCGUAAAGCUCUUUCGCCUGUGAAGAUAAUGACGGUAGCAGGUAAAGAAACCCCGGCUAACUCCGUGCCAGCAGCCGCGGUAAUACGGAGGGGGUUAGCGUUGUUCGGGAAUUACUGGCACGUAAAGCGCACGUAGGCGGACCAGAAAGUUGGGGGUGAAAUCCCGGGGGCUCAACCCCGGAACUGCCUCCAAAACUAUUGGUCUAGAGUUCGAGAGAGGUGAGUGGAAUUCCAAGUGUAGAGGUGAAAUUCGUAGAUAUUUGGAGGAACACCAGUGGCGAAGGCGGCUCACUGGCUCGAUACUGACGCUGAGGUGCGAAAGUGUGGGGAGCAAACAGGAUUAGAUACCCUGGUAGUCCACACCGUAAAACGAUGAAUGCCAGUCGUCGGGUAGCAUGCUAUUCGGUGACACACCUAACGGAUUAAGCAUUCC
rnacentral:rRNA from 1 species